CGUUACGGGAUCGAACGGUUAAAUUGAAAUCGCGGAAAUAUCAGUGAACAAUACUAAGAUUUUCGACAUGGAUUAACAUCGAAAUAAGGUCCAUUGCUUCGUUGUUGCCGAUAGGAAAGGAAACGUCUUACUGAAUCGAUUUAAGGACAAGGUUCUUCUCGAGAAAAGGGACGAGUGAAAAUAAUAUGUUUUCAACCUUAUUAAAACAAGAAUAUAUGAAAAAUAAAGAAUAGAGAGUCUACAAAGAAGGAAAGAAAGGAUCACUUAUGUCAAUUGAAGAAGGAUGAAUUUUUAAAAAAGAACAUCUGAUUCAUGAGAAUGGCAUCUUCGAAAUCCUUGGACGUGCUCGAACGACGAUCCUGAUCCUUCGUAUUAUUCGUCGUCGUUGGAUUCAAGGUUAUCAUUUCGCAACCCUGUGUCACCUGGACCCUG